UACGUAGGGGGCAAGCGUUGUCCGGAUUUAUUGGGCGUAAAGAGCGUGUAGGCGGCCAGGUAGGUCUGCUGUGAAAACUCGAGGCUUAACCUCGAGAUGUCAUCGGAAACCAUUUGGCUAGAGUCCGGAAGAGGAAAGUGGAAUUCCCGGUGUAGCGGUGAAAUGCGUAGAGAUCGGGAAGAACAUCGGUGGCGAAAGCGCUCUACUGGACGGUAUCUGACACUGAGGGACGAAAGCUAGGGGAGCGAAUGGG
rnacentral:rRNA from 1 species